GCAAAAAGGGGAAAAAAGAGCGCGCAUGCGGGGGGAGCAUUGAUUGGUGGCACAGGUGCGCGACGGGGCGGGAUCUUCGGGAACGCAGCAAAACGGGAGCAGCGGGACCGCGUGGUGUGCACGCCGGCGGGGCGGGAGUGAAACGGCGCUGAAGGAGAUUCUGGAGGAAUUGCUGAAGCGCGUGCACGCGGUGACGUCAGCGGCAGCUCGAGGAGUCUUAUGCCCCACCGGCGAGUUGCUGCAGACUCCAGGUAGUGGUUUAGAUCACGACCCAGAAUCGUGACUGCUUGGUGGAGACGGGCAAAGUUGUAACUGCAUCGCCUGGCCAUUACAAACGUUUCUGAGUUUGGGACACUGAACUGGACUUUCUCUUUAGUCUUUUAUUGUUUUGAUUCUCUCUUCCUUAAUCUGCUGCUUUUACUAGCUGGCAAGAUAAUGUAUUAAUAAAAGGUUUCUUUUUUGUAUUA